AACGAACGCUGGCGGCAGGCUUAACACAUGCAAGUCGAACGCCCCGCAAGGGGAGUGGCAGACGGGUGAGUAACGCGUGGGAACGUACCUUUCGCUUCGGAAUAUUCCCGGGAAACUGGGAGCAAUGCCGAAUACGCCGUAUUGGGAAAGAUUUAUCGGCGAAAGAUCGGCCCGCGUUAGAUUAGCUAGUUGGCGGCGUAAUGGACCACCAAGGCUACGAUCUAUAGCUGGUCUGAGAGGAUGAUCAGCCACACUGGGACUGAGACACGGCCCAGACUCCUACGGGAGGCAGCAGUGGGGAAUCUUGGACAAUGGGCGCAAGCCUGAUCCAGCCAUGCCGCGUGAGUGAAGAAGGCCUUAGGGUUGUAAAACUCUUUCGCCGGAGAAGAUAAUGACGGUAUCCGGAGGAGAAGCCCCGGCUAACUUCGUGCCAGCCGCCGCCGUAAGAC
rnacentral:rRNA from 1 species